GACGAACGCUGGCGGCGUGCUUAACACAUGCAAGUCGAACGGAAAGGCCCUGCUUUUGUGGGGUGCUCGAGUGGCGAACGGGUGAGUAACACGUGAGUAACCUGCCCUUGACUUUGGGAUAACUUCAGGAAACUGGGGCUAAUACCGGAUAGGAGCUCCUGCUGCAUGGUGGGGGUUGGAAAGUUUCGGCGGUUGGGGAUGGACUCGCGGCUUAUCAGCUUGUUGGUGGGGUAGUGGCUUACCAAGGCUUUGACGGGUAGCCGGCCUGAGAGGGUGACCGGCCACAUUGGGACUGAGAUACGGCCCAGACUCCUACGGGAGGCGGCAGUGGGGAAUAUUGCACAAUGGGCGGAAGCCUGAUGCAGCAACGCCGCGUGUGGGAUGACGGCCUUCGGGUUGUAAACCGCUUUCGCCUGUGACGAAGCGUGAGUGACGGUAAUGGGUAAAGAAGCACCGGCUAACUACGUG
rnacentral:rRNA from 1 species